rnacentral:rRNA from 1 species
GACGAACGCUGGCGGCGUGCUUAACACAUGCAAGUCGAACGGAAAGGCCCUGCUUUUGUGGGGUGCUCGAGUGGCGAACGGGUGAGUAACACGUGAGUAACCUGCCCUUGACUUUGGGAUAACUUCAGGAAACUGGGGCUAAUACCGGAUAGGAGCUCCUGCUGCAUGGUGGGGGUUGGAAAGUUUCGGCGGUUGGGGAUGGACUCGCGGCUUAUCAGCUUGUUGGUGGGGUAGUGGCUUACCAAGGCUUUGACGGGUAGCCGGCCUGAGAGGGUGACCGGCCCCAUUGGGACUGAGAUACGGCCCAGACUCCUACGGGAGGCAGCAGUGGGGAAUAUUGCACCAUGGGCGGAAGCCUGAUGCAGCAACGCCGCGUGCGGGAUGACGGCCUUCGGGUUGUAAACCGCUUUCGCCUGUGACGAAGCGUGAGUGACGGUAAUGGGUAAAGAAGCACCGGCUAACUACGUG